CCAUUCCACCAUCCUGUAGACAUCUGCCAGCUUAUUCUUUUUGAGCUAAAAGGAAAACUUGGGUUACUUUCAAGGGUUUCGUAAAGCAAAGACAAUCAUGCUCGCAAACUGUAAAGGAGAGAGCAUAAGGCCGCACUGUCCUAAGCCAAGAGUUAAUGUGCCAUGUUAACGAUGCAGACUUCUGCUUUGAUUAGACCCGAGCAUCAGUGUGUAUUACGUUAUGCGAUUACCAAAAUAGGUCUUCCUUUCAUGCACCUGUAGGAGCACAACCAUCACGGGGUGUUUGGCUGAGACAUGGCGUCGGGAGGGGUCUGGACACUGCCGGCUGUGAUGAGCACAGAGAGAUGAGCAGGAGACCAUCCAAUACCCAGGGCAGCUGACAGAAGCAGAGGCCUUGAUGAUUUUGCACACGCAGGCCCCCAGACCUGCUCCAGAGCAAGCCCCCAAGAGUCAGGCUUCUCUCUUGGGAGCUGCAAGAAACCCUGAUACGGCAAACGGGAGCAGAACAAAGCCAUGCCGAGAUGCAGGUGGCAACUCACACCAACUCGCUGACCUGCCCCCCGUGGCUCACAGCCUGGGACUCGAGUUCCUCUCCUGCCACAGCCAUUACACGUCAGAAAUGUGCGGGUCCUGGACAAACAGAACAGGAAAUAUUACAUCCCCGAGAGGCCACUGUCUCACCCCGACAAGAUGCAGAAGACAAAACGGAGCGGGCGGACGAACAUUUCAACAUCCACGGCACGUAUAUUCAGCUUUCUUUUUAUUUUAAUUAUAAAACAAUGGCCAAUACACAAA